UUCCGGUUGAUCCUGCCGGACCUGACUGCUAUCGGAUUGGUACUAAGCCAUGCGAGUCAUUGUAGCAAUACAAGGCGGACGGCUCAGUAACACGUAGUCAACCUAACUCGUGGACGUGGAUAACCUCGGGAAACUGAGAAUAAACCACGAUAGAUCAUAGUGCCUGGAAUGGCUUAUGGUCUAAACAGUUUACUGCCAUGGGAUGGGACUGCGGCCUAUCAGCUUGUUGGUGAGGUAAUGGCCCACCAAGGCGAUUACAGGUACGGGCUCUGAGAGGAGAAGCCCGGAGAUGGGUACUGAGACACGGACCCAGGCCCUAUGGGGCGCAGCAGGCGAGAAACCUUAGCAAUGUGCGAAAGCACGACUGGGUCAGUCCGAGUGAUUCCUGAUAAAGGAGUCUUUUGCCUGUCCUAAAAGCACAGGUGAAUAAGGGGUGGGCAAGUCUGGUGUCAGCCGCCGCGGUAAUACCAGCACCUCGAGUGGUCAGGACGUUUAUUGGGCCUAAAGCAUCCGUAGCCGGCUCUGCAAGUCUUCGGUUAAAUCCACCUGCUCAACAGAUGGGCCGCUGGAGAUACUACAGAGCUAGGGAGUGGGAGAGGCAGACGGUAUUCAGUGGGUAGGGGUAAAAUCCUCUGAUCCAUUGAGGACCACCAGUGGCGAAGGCGGUCUGCCAGAACACGUUCGACGGUGAGGGAUGAAAGCUGGGGGAGCAAACCGGAUUAGAUACCCGGGUAGUCCCAGCUGUAAACGAUGCANACUCGGUGAUGCAUUGGCUUAUGGCCAAUGCAGUGCCG
rnacentral:rRNA from 1 species